UCCCUAGGUAGCCUAUUCCAGUGCUUGACCACCCUCAAUUACUAGAAGAGUUCUUUCUGAUCUCCAGCCAAAAUUGCCUCUGCUGCAAUUUGAGGCCAUUGAUCUUAGUCCUGUCCCCUACAGCACAGAGAAAAGU